CCUACGGGUGGCAGCAGUGAGGAAUAUUGGUCAAUGGACGAGAGUCUGAACCAGCCAAGUAGCGUGAAGGAUGACUGCCCUAUGGGUUGUAAACCUCUUUUAUAAAGGAAUAAAACGAGGCACGUGUGCCUUUUUGCAUGUACUUUAUGAAUAAGGAUCGGUUAACUCCGUGCCAGCAGCCGCGGUAAUACGGAGGAUCCGAGCGUUAUCCGGAUUUGUUGGGUUUAAAGGGAGCGUAGAUGGGUUGUUAAGUCAGUUGUGAAAGUUGGCGGGUCAACCGUAAAAUUGCAAUUGAUACUGGCAGUCUUGAGUACAGUUGAGGUAGGCGGAAUUCGUGGUGUAGCGGUGAAAUGCUUAGAUAUCACGAAGAACCCCGAUUGCGAAGGCAGCAUACUAAACUGUGACUGACAUUGAGGCUCGAAAGUGUGGGUAUCAAACAGGAUUAGAUACCCUUGUAGUC
rnacentral:rRNA from 1 species